rnacentral:rRNA from 1 species
UACAGAGGUCUCAAGCGUUGUUCGGAUUCAUUGGGCGUAAAGGGUGCGUAGGCUGCGCGGUAAGUCGGGUGUGAAAUCUCGGGGCUUAACUCCGAAACUGCAUUCGAUACUGCCGUGCUUGAGGACUGGAGAGGAGACUGGAAUUUACGGUGUAGCGGUGAAAAUGCGCAGAUAUCAGGAAGAACACCAAUGGCGAAAGCAGCUUUCUGGGACGGUACUGACGCUGAGACGCGAAAGCGUGGGGAGCGAACAGG